UACGGAGGGGGCUAGCGUUAUUCGGAAUUACUGGGCGUAAAGCGCACGUAGGCGGAUUGGAAAGUCAGAGGUGAAAUCCCAGGGCUCAACCUUGGAACUGCCUUUGAAACUCCCAGUCUUGAGGUCGUGAGAGGUGAGUGGAAUUCCGAGUGUAGAGGUGAAAUUCGUAGAUAUUCGGAGGAACACCAGUGGCGAAGGCGGCUCACUGGCACGAUACUGACGCUGAGGUGCGAAAGCGUGGGGAGCAAACAGG
rnacentral:rRNA from 1 species